UCCGUAGGUGGAUCAAUCAGUCAGAGGUGAAAUCCUGCAGCUUAACUGUAGAACUGCCUUUGAUACUGUUGAUCUUGAGUCAUUAUGAAGUGGUUAGAAUGUGUAGUGUAGCGGUGAAAUGCAUAGAUAUUACACAGAAUACCGAUUGCGAAGGUAGAUCACUAAUAAUGUACUGACACUGAGGGACGAAAGCGUGGGGAGCGAACAGGAUUAGAUACCCUGGUAGUCC
rnacentral:rRNA from 1 species